rnacentral:rRNA from 1 species
GACGAACCGAGCGAACGUUAUUCGGAAUCACUGGGCUUAAAGGGCGCGUAGGCGGGCGUUCAAGUCAGGGGUGAAAGCCCACGGCUCAACCGUGGAAGUGCCUCUGAUACUGGGCGUCUCGAGGGAGGUAGGGGCGUGCGGAAUUCCCAGUGUAGAGGUGAAAUUCGUAGAUAUCAGGAGGAACACCGGUGGCGAAGGCGGGUCUCUGGGCCGAUACUGACGCUGAGGAGCGAAAGCGUGGGGAGCGAACAGG